rnacentral:rRNA from 1 species
AUGGCCUCGCUGGCCAUGCUCGUGUCAUGGACCAUUUGGAACGAGAGAAAUGUCCGGGUCUUCCGGCACAAGAGCGCCCCACCGCCAAUUUUGCUCACUACGAUCACUAACGAGCCAAAUCUUUGGGUCACCGCCGGAGCAAAGAAACCGGUGUCUAUUAUUUUGCGUGAGUAA